rnacentral:rRNA from 1 species
GAACGAACGCUGGCGGCGUGCCUAACACAUGCAAGUCGAACGAGAAAACUCUCUUCGGAGAGUCGGUAAAGUGGCGCAAGGGUGAGUAACACGUGAAUAAUCUGCCCUCAAAACUGGGAUAACUCGGCGAAAGUUGAGCUAAUACCGGAUAAGACCACGCUUCACAAGGAGUGCGGUCAAAGGGGUCUCAAUCCCCGUUUGAGGAUGAGUUCGCGGACCAUUAGCUAGUUGGUGAGAUAAAAGCUCACCAAGGCUUCGAUGGUUAGCCGGCCUGAGAGGGUGAACGGCCACACUGGAACUGAGACACGGUCCAGACUCCUACGGGAGGCAGCAGUGGGGAAUAUUGCGCAAUGGGCGAAAGCCUGACGCAGCAACGCCGCGUGAGGGAUGAAGGUUUUAGGAUCGUAAACCUCUGUCGGAUGGGAAGAAUUAUGACGGUACCAUCAGAGGAAGCCCCGGCUAACUCCGUGCCAGCAGCCGCGGUAAUACGGAGGGGGCAAGCGUUGUUCGGAAUUAUUGGGCGUAAAGCGUAUGUAGGCGGUUGGACAAGUCAGACGUGUAAGCCCGUGGCUCAACCACGGAAUUGCGUUUGAAACUGUUUAACUUGAGUGUAGGAGAGGAAAGCGGAAUUCCCAGUGUAGCGGUGAAAUGCGUAGAUAUCUGGAGGAACAUCAGUGGCGAAGGCGACCUUCUUGGCUGACACUGACGCUCAUGUACGAAAGCGUGGGGAGCAAACAGGAUUAGAUACCCUGGUAGUCCACGCCGUAAACGAUGUCAACUAGCUGUUGGGAGGAUCUGGCCUCUUAGUAGCGUAGCUAACGCGAUAAGGUGACCGCCUGGGGAGUACGGCCGCAAGGCUAAAGCUCAAAUGAAUUGACGGGGGCCCGCACAAGCGGUGGAGCAUGUGGUUUAAUUCGAUGCAACGCGAAAAACCUUACCUGCCCUUGACAUGUAGCGCACUUUCCAGAGAUGGAUUGGUGCCUUCGGGAACGCUAACACAGGUGCUGCAUGGCUGUCGUCAGCUCGUGUCGUGAGAUGUUGGGUUAAGUCCCGUAACGAGCGCAACCCUUAUCCUUAGUUGCCAUCAGUUCGGCUGGGCACUCUAGGGAAACUGCCGGUGACAAGCCGGAGGAAGGCGGGGAUGACGUCAAGUCCUCAUGGCCCUUAUAGGCUGGGCUACACACGUGCUACAAUGGCGGUGACAGUGGGCCGCGACCCCGCAAGGGUGAGCUAAUCCCCAAAAACCGUCUCAGUUCGGAUUGUACUCUGCAACUCGAGUGCAUGAAGUUGGAAUCGCUAGUAAUCGCGGAUCAGCAUGCCGCGGUGAAUACGUUCACGGGCCUUGUACACACCGC